rnacentral:rRNA from 1 species
UACGGAGGAUCCCAGCGUUAUCCGGAUUUAUUGGGUUUAAAGGGUGCGCAGGCGGCCAUUUAAGUCAGCGGUUAAAUCGUGGGGCUCAACCCCAUUCUGCCGUUGAUACUGGGUGGCUUGAUUGCGGUCGAGGUUGGCGGAAUUCGUUGUGUAGCGGUGAAAUGCAUAGAUAUGACGAAGAACACCGAUUGCGUAGGCAGCUGACCAGACCGCAAAUGACGCUCAUGCACGAAAGUGCGAGGAUCGAACAGGAUUAGAUACCCUGGUAGUCCGCACAGUAAACGAUGAAUACUUGUUUUCGGCGAUAUAAUGUCGGAGGCAAAGCGAAAGCGAUAAGUAUUCCACCUGGGGAGUACGCCGGCAACGGUGAAACUCAAAUGAAUUGACGGGG